UCCAUCGUUGGGAAAAUUAACCAAUCUCGAAUGGUUAGAUCUCUCCUCAAAUAAGCUCAUAGGUGAAAUUCCUAUACAAUUGACAGAUCUCACAUCACUGGAAAUUUUAAACCUAUCAGAAAACUAUCUUUCUGGACAGAUACCUCAAGGUAAACAGUUCAAUACCUUUAUGAAUGAUUCUUACAAUGGGAACCAAGGGUUAUGUGGAUUUCCAAUGACAAAAGCUUGUGGCAAUGAUGAGGGACACCAACCACCACCAUCAUCAACGAUUCAGGAAGAUGAUUUCAAAUUUGAAAAUGGGUUACAUUGGAAAGUUGUAUUGUUGGGUUACGGUGUUGGAUUCAUGUUCGGAUUAGGUUUGGGUUAUCUUGUGUUCUCAAGUGGAAAGCCAAUAUGGCUAGUGAAUAUUUUUUAUGGAGAACAAGGUAAUAAUGUACGAAGAUCCAAGAAGAAUGCUCGUGGACGAACUCAUUGAAGAAGAAUUUGGUGGAUGCAAAUACUGAUUCUAGGCUGGUGGCCCUUUCUAUCCGGUGUUAAUAGGAUUGAGGGACAACAUUCAUUCAUAUUUAACGAAGCACUAGCCGGCAUUCCACGACCAAAUGAUAACAUAACACUGACACUUCACCUUUUUGCCUUUAGAGGUAUUGAUGAAAGAUAAACAAUUAGUCUUCUAGUUUCUUAAUCAUCUGAAGAUGCACGUGACAUUGGGAAGGUUUGCUAUGAAUUCAUACAAAAAUGCCUCCCUUACCUCAAGGGGACAGGGCAGUCAAACCCAACUAUAGCUCCUGAUUUUCUCAUUGAGACAAAAAUGAGUGAGUCUGCAAUGGGGAUGUCAUAUUUGCAGGAAUUGUCAUCUUUGGUAUCAUUCGGGGUAGGUUUUGACACUCACGACUGUCAGAGCUUGUGAAAGGCGAGAGGACUCCUUUUUGCCGAUCAGAAAUUGAUAGCUAAUGAGAAGACUGCGAGAUUGGCAAGGGUUUAUGCGCCAGAUGAUGGAUCAAUCUUUCGAAUGGACUUUGCUUGGGCAAUGAUGAAGAUGUCAGGUCUUAAUGUUCUGGCUGGAUCUCAAGGUUAGGUCCGAAGAAACUGCUCCUUGGCUUAGGUCAGUUCCUAAGUGACAGUCUGACCAUAAUGAACUCUUGAGAUCUUUUUUCUUUCAUAAUGCCAAAGAGUAAGUGAUUGGUCUUUCAUGGGAACCUAAAUUUUUCACCAAGAGCCCAUAAUGGGUGUGAGAGCGAAUCUCAGAAUCAGAGUGAAAACAGUGCACUUUGGAGACCCAAUUCAGAGCUUGUUGAUGGGUUUUUCCUCUCCAGAAAGUUAAAACAAAUUUAAGAGAAAGCUUCUCAAAAAUACUGCUGGAAAAGCUUGGUUUGACUUGCUUGCACAAACCAUAACCCCUGAGAUUGAGAAAGAUUUGUGUUUACUGAAGAUCGAGAAUGGUGAUAGUGUCAACAUCAUACUUCUUCACAGUUAGACUAACGAGGAAAGAGAGAAAGGGAACAAUUGCAGCUGAGUUGUUAUCUAAUCGUACCGUUGCUGACUACAGUAAGAAGGAAAAAAAAAAAGGUUCAAUCCCAAUGUGUCCCAUAUGGGUUCAUUUCAUCUACAUAUGUGAAGGAAUUGAAGAAAAACAGGGAUUGCAGUGGCAGAGGAAUGCUUCUUAGAGUACUGAAACAGCUACAUACAGUUGGGUUUUAGCUGAUGCUUCUUGCAUCUUCUGCUUCUCGUUCUUCGACUUAUUCUUCUUCAUCCGUGAACUUGCCUAAAAUUCUAUCGGUUUUUUCCAUUUGGAGGCAGGAAUUGAGAGAGAACAAGAAUGACCGUGAACAGAGAAGUAGAAAAUGGGAAACUAAAUGAACUAGAUUAACCAGGCCAAACCCAGUGUAAUACCUUAAAAUUAGUUAACGACAUCAAAUUAACUAUUUUCCAUAUGUAAUUGCAACCUAGAGUUUUUAUUUUUAUUUUUAAAUGGAAUAGAAUUUCAACUCUAUUGUAAUCUUUCUCAUCAUCACGCUAAGAUACCAAAAAUGGAAAAGAUGUGGAUCUUUCCCUCAUGAUUAACUAAACAAUAUUAUGGAAAUCCAAUGAAUUAAUUACUUAA